AACCCAUGGUGAGGGCUUCUUCUCAAUAAGUCCUUGUAUCUCUCCCAUCAUCGUACAAAGUCUCUAAAUCUAUCUGAACAAAGGAAGAGAUAUCAUUCCUCAACUU
rnacentral:snoRNA from 1 species